AACGAACGCUGGCGGCAGGCUUAACACAUGCAAGUCGAGCGCCCCGCAAGGGGAGCGGCAGACGGGUGAGUAACGCGUGGGAAUCUACCCAUCUCUACGGAAUAACGCAUGGAAACGUGUGCUAAUACCGUAUACGUCCUUCGGGAGAAAGAUUUAUCGGAGAUGGAUGAGCCCGCGUUGGAUUAGCUAGUUGGUGGGGUAAAGGCCUACCAAGGCGACGAUCCUUAGCUGGUCUGAGAGGAUGAUCAGCCACACUGGCACUGAGACACGGCCCAGACUCCUUCGGGAGGCAGCAGUGGGGAAUAUUGGACAAUGGGCGAAAGCCCGAUCCAGCAAUGCCGGGUGAGUGAUGAAGGCCCUAGGGUUGUAAAGCUCUUUUACCCGGGAUGAUAAUGACAGUACCGGGAGAAUAAGCUCCGGCUAACUCCGUGCCAGCCGCCGCAGUAAUAC
rnacentral:rRNA from 1 species